GUAGGUGGCAAGCGUUGUCCGGAAUUAUUGGGCGUAAAGCGCGCGCAGGCCGGUUCUUUAAGUCUGAUGUGAAAGCCCACGGGCUCAACCGUGGAGGGUCAUUGGAAACUGGAGAACUUGAGUACAGAAGAGGAAAGCGGAAUUCCACGUGUAGCGGUGAAAUGCGUAGAGAUGUGGAGGAACACCAGUGGCGAAGGCGGCUUUCUGGUCUGUAACUGACGCUGAGGCGCGAAAGCGUGGGGAGCAAACAGGAUUAGAUACCCUGGUAGUCCACGCCGUAAACGAUGAGUGCUAAGUGUUAGGGGGUUUCCGCCCCUUAGUGCUGCAGCUAACGCAUUAAGCACUCCGCCUGGGGAGUACGGCCGCAAAGGCUG
rnacentral:rRNA from 1 species